AGUGAACGCUGGCGGUAGGCCUAACACAUGCAAGUCGAACGGCAGCACAGUAAGAGCUUGCUCUUACGGGUGGCGAGUGGCGGACGGGUGAGGAAUACAUCGGAAUCUACUUUUUCGUGGGGGAUAACGUAGGGAAACUUACGCUAAUACCGCAUACGACCUACGGGUGAAAGCAGGGGAUCUUCGGACCUUGCGCGAUUGAAUGAGCCGAUGUCGGAUUAGCUAGUUGGCGGGGUAAAGGCCCACCAAGGCGACGAUCCGUAGCUGGUCUGAGAGGAUGAUCAGCCACACUGGAACUGAGACACGGUCCAGACUCCUACGGGAGGCAGCAGUGGGGAAUAUUGGACAAUGGGCGCAAGCCUGAUCCAGCCAUGCCGCGUGGGUGAAGAAGGCCUUCGGGUUGUAAAGCCCUUUUGUUGGGAAAGAAAAGCAGCAGGUGAAUACCCCGCUGUUCUGACGGUACCCAAAGAAUAAGCACCGGCUAACUUCGUG
rnacentral:rRNA from 1 species